CGUUAAGCAACUCUCACUGCAGGCAGUGCUCGUGAGGCAGAAUGGCAAACUUCGGCUCUGUGGUUGGCUCCAGAAGGAAGGAUGUAUGUGUGCUCAUAGCAUCCUGCCUCUGUGCCUUUGGGUUGCUGACUGGUACUGGCAAGCCAUGGUAAAGCACGGAGAGAAACGUGGGAUUUCUUUUUCCCUCGCAUCUGUGGGAAAAGCAAAGGGAAGAACUUGCAACGUGUGUCCUAAGCUUCUUCCAGAAGACCAGACCCUGGGCGGCGGCCCUUCUUGAAGGAGGACCUCUUGCACCCACUGCUGAACCCUGUCUCACAGGAGGAGGAUGGCUUCUCCCACCACACACUGCCUCACAGUGCUCUUGUCCUGGCCUGACCUGACUGUCAUGAAGCUUGCUAUGGAUUUUGUACCUGCGCUCUGACUGUUGGGCUGCAUCAGAACUUCUCUGCUCAAGAGAACCCGUUUGCAUCGCAGCUGUGAGCAAGUCCAGCUUCUCUUGUGACACACAGAAAACUGUGAUUCAGCUCAGGUAGCUCUCUUCGUUACAUGAUGACAAAAGGGUGAUGUGUUGCUGGCCCGCUGGGAGGCCACCCACGGCCCUCAGUGUCCCAGCAUGUUCCUGUGCAUGUGAACAUCCCUGAGGCUGCUUCCUGGAGAUGUCUGUCACAUCACACGGGCCAGUUCCACUACGUGCCAGUGAUCCAUGCUAUGGCUUUGGUAUUUUCUGCUGGACGUACUUUCCAGUGCAUCCUGGGAGCAUGCUUGUAUUGCCGUAACUGCAUCCCAUGGGCACCCCAAAUCAUUAAUCACCAGUGUGCUCUUUUCCUCUUCUGCUGGUUCCAGACGAGUUCCCAGUUCAUAGCGUAAGUUCCUGCUGUUAAUCCAUAAGCCAUAACCUUUAUAUUGGGUACUGUUCAACACAAUUAGAUUUCUGUUACAUGAUGUUCUUUCCUGCAGUUAAACAUGACUUGCUUUACUUAU
rnacentral:lncRNA from 7 species